UUUAAAUUGUGCAGUUAAAAUUAUUGCAUUUCAUCUUUUCUGUUAGUAUUAGUGUACUUUUAACCUUUUAGUGGGUGCUCUCAUUUACAAAAAUAUUUUAAACUGAGGCCAGCACUGUGGCACAAGGGGUUAAAGCCCUGGCCUGAAGUGUCGGCAUCCCAGGUGGGUACCGGUUCUAGUCCUGGCUGCUCUACUUCUGCUCCAGUUCUCUGCUAUGGCCUGAGAAAGCAGUAGAAGAUGGCCCAAGUCCUUGGGUCUCUGCACCCACAUGGGAGACUAGAAGAAGCUCCUGGCUUCUGAUUUCGGAUCAGCACAGCUCCAGCUGUUGCAGCCAUUUGGGGAGUGAAACAGUGGGUAAAAGACCGCUCUAUCUCUGUCUCUACCUCUCUCUGUAACUCUGUCUUUCAGAAAAAUAAAAAUAAAUCUUAAAAAAUUAAAGUAAUAUAGAUCAAGCUUCAAAUAACACUAUGCUGCUUCAUAAUUAAUAAAAGUAGUUUAUAAUAGAGUAUUCUCAGAAUGUUUUGGCCUGUUAUUAUUUUGCUGUAAUUAAUUUUAUAUAUCAUAAAUCCCUAGUACAUUGUUACUAUUAUGACUUUAUGUACAUAGUAUUAAGAGAAUGAAAAUAAAAAUUUAUUUUGUCUUUAUUCCAAAGCGAAUUCUCUUCAUGUAAAUGUGGUUUUCUGAUCUAUGCUAUUUUCCUUCUUUCUACAUUCUUUGUCAUUUCUUGUUAGACAGGUAUGACAGCACUAGGUGAUCUUAUUGCUUUGCAUGUGUAACAGAGAGAAUUUCUCUACUUUUGAAAAAUAAUCUGGUUGCAUAUAGAAUUCUAGUUUAGCCUAUUUUUUUUUCUGUUAGUACUUCAAAUAUUUCACUCCAGUUUCUUCUGCCUUCUGUAGUUUCUGACAAAAGAUUGCUGGAAUUCUUAUCCUUAAUCUUGCAUAGGUAUGGUGCUGGCUUUCUCUAGCUUCUUUCCUAGAUUUCUAGCUUUCUUUGGCUUUCUGUAAUCUGAAUGUGAUAUUCUUAGUUCCAUACAUUUUAGGAAUUCUCCCUUUUUGUGGUAGGUCUGAGUUCUGUGAUAUGGCAGUAAUGGGGAAAGGCAAAAGCACAGAGUGCAUUCUGCCACAAGUAUGAGCUGAUAAAUCUGCACUACGUCCCGCCUGACCCACCUGCAAUACUCAGUCAUCCUCUGAUCUGCAGCUUGCAGCAGCUGCAGAGCUAACAGAACUGGAAAGUCCUUCCCGAACUUGCCCUACACACUGUCAGCCUGUGAGAGAGGUCUGUCGCCUCCGUGUCUGAGGAUUCCUCUCUGAUAAACCUGUCCCAGCUCUUGAGUUGUUUCUCUCCUCUUCUGAGUCUGUCAGCACCACAUAUUAUUUCUAACAGACAAUUUUUAUUAAUUUUGGGAAAACAUUGGCUAUCAUUAGUUUAGAUAUUUCUUAUGUUCUCUUUUGUCUUUUUGUUUUCUCCAAGUAUGCAAGUGUUUCAAAACAUAAAUAUGUUAUAAGUAGCACCCUUUAAAAUUGCAUCUCAGUCUAUGGUAAUUCUGCUAAUUAAAAUACUCCCCCCCUUUAAAAAUUCCAAAGUUUCCAUCAGCUUAACUUCAAGUUCAUUUUUUUUUACCUCAGUAGCAGUUAUUCUUUUGAGGAUGCCAUCAAACACAUUAUUCAUUUUUGUUACAACGUUUUCCAUUUAAAACGUGUGCUUUGAUUUUCUUUUAUAACUACCAGCUCUCUCUUUAAACUGCCCAUCUAGUCUUGCACAAUACGUACUUCUAAACUUUGUUUCUUUAGCUGUUAAUGCAUUCAUCAUAUUUUAAAUCCUAAUCUGAUGAUUCCAAAAUAUCUCAUUUAUUGGUGUGAUUCUUUUUUUUUAAGAUUUAUUUAUUUAUUUGAAAGUCGGAGUUACACGCACACACACACACACACACACAGAGCGAGAGAGAGAGAAAGAAAGGAAGAAAGAGAGAGAGAGAGAGAGAGAGAGAGAGAAGUCUUCCAUCUGCUGGUUCACUCCCCAGAAGGCUGCAAUGGCCGGAGCUGCGCUGAUCUGAAGCCAGGAGCCAGGAGCUUCUUCUGGGUCUCCCACAUGGGUGCGGGAGCCCAAGAACGUGGGCCAUCUUCUACUGCUUUCCCAGGCCAUAGCAGAGAGCUCAAUGGGAAGUGGGGCAGCUGGGACUCUAACCAGCGCCCAUAUGGGAUGUCAACACUGCCAGCGACAGCUUUACCUGCUAUGUCACAGCGCGGGCCCCAAGUCUUUCAGUCUUAAUCCUAUCAUAUUGGAGUUCCUUUCUGUGGAGGUAAGUUGUGGAGAAAGGGAAACUUUAGCUAACCUUAUAAUUAAAAAUCAGUCUUUUUGUGGACCCAUAUCCUUUGGCUAUGAUUUCACAAGAAUUUUGUUAGCUCCUUUCCUUUGAAAUGAAACGGUAAGUAUUGAAGGGAUUGUAGUUUAAGAAAUUCCCUUUCCCUAAGAAGUCUAAUACUCUGUGAAAGUCUUCCACCUUGUGGAGUAGACUCUUACUUUGAAACAUUCUGAAUAUUUUUUGUUGUGGUCAAGGUUCUUCCACACCUAUCUCUACCGGACACGGAUCUUUCCUGACUCUUCAUUGUGAGGAUUUAAUGGUAUUCUGUGGUUACACAGGAAUGUGUUCCCACCCGUAAAGCUGUAGCACCAAGGUAUUUUUCAUUCUCAAGUUAUUCUACAUUUAUCUUCUGACAAUUUGCCAAAACUAUCAUAUUAAUUUUAAUACCAAUUUAUGGAUCCAGUAGCGUUUGCUCUAAGGAAGUAGAUCUUAGUUGUGAACAUUUUCAUCUGCCUUUCUCUUUUGAUUUGUGGGGAAGUGUGCAAUUUGUGCAGAGGCUCAGCUUUAUCUGUUUGUAAGUAAGACCUCCUCCCCAGAAAUAUCACAACUUGUGACAGGUUGACUGAGAUAUUGCUGUGGACGAAUGGAGAAUACUUUAGUUUUCAUCAUAUGUUUUUUGAAGUAUGAGUUGUAUCAUUAUGUAUGAAUGUGAACUUUAACUUUGGAUAGACUUAACUUCAAUAACUUGGUGUAGGGCAAUGUUAUCAUUUUAUGACUUGGUCAUUAUAAAAGCAGGACUUAGUCACCUCUGGCUGUUUCUACUUACAUGCCUAUUCCUGGUUGCUCCUUGUAAUGCAUCAGGUACUUGUCUUACACCGCCACUGGUGACUAGUCCAGGCCUUUACAGCUAGCUAUAACCUAUCUGACUUGCCCCACUGAACCCAUCACCCUGCACUGCAGUGAUCCAUCUCUGUUGCAUUGUGCCUCCAUGUAGCUCAGAGCUAUUUUACACUCAUCAAUCGGAACACCCCAGAGAAGUUGCUUAAGUAACACUCUGGACCUCAGUGAAGACUGGUUUUUAGGUUCUUUAAUUUCUCUGAUUGAUUAUGCAUUUGUUGGACAGCGUCCUCCCCACCCCACGCACCCAUAUUUCCUGAUGACCCUGUGAGGCAGGCUGCCCUGUUCUCUCCUGAAUUUAUGAGUUAUACAAUUUAUUUCCAUGAUUUCUGUGCUUUGUGAUGUUGGCUGCUCUGUAUCUCACUUGACUGACACAUCUGAACCUAAUCUCCAAGUCAACACCCUCCAGGAUGGUAGCUAUCUUUGUAAGAAUAAUCAGAACAACAAUCAAGCAAGAGUCCAAAGAACAUCUAUUAGUAGAAAUAUGUUCUCAGUGAAAGGGGACACCUGGCUAUGGACCAAGUACUUGACACCAUGCUGUUCAAGAGCGAAAUGAAGUACACCAGGAAAGGCACAUGCUUGCCAUCCAUAACCGCCUUCCCUGUAGCUCUCUCAGGAGAAGGCUAAAGUUCAUAGCCACACUGGAAGACAUCAAAACCAAAUUAGAAAUAAAUCAAAACACAAGGUAAGACUAUUGUGUUAAAUAACCUAAAAGUCACUUCAAUGUGGGAUAUUGUUAGCUUCCUUCUACAGAAAAUUUAUAACUUAGCAUGUUUGAGUCUUUUAUAUGUUCGUUAUUUAUUAUCACUAAAUAUUCAAAUAUAAUUAUAGCAAUCAAUUUUUACUCUUGAGCUAGUUAAACAUUGCUUUUCUGAUGCUGUGAAAGAAUGGCUUUUAUUACAUGUGGUUUAAAAUAUUCAGGGAAUGAAAUAAUACUUGCACAAAACAUUAAUUAUUAGAUCUCUGGGACAUAUUUUCUAAGAGUACUUUCUGUUACAAAGAAUUUUGUAGAAAUGAAAGUGAUAGUUUUCUACAUCUGCUGCAACUCUUCUCGGCAAGAAGUUCCAGAAACUAUUUUCUGCGUUUCUAAAUAUGAACACUGUAGCCAGUAAACAUUUUAUUCUUUGAUGUGUUCAGGUGUCUGUGGUUUAUCUUCUUGAAAUUUGGAAUUUCAAAUUUGGCAACUGAUUCCCUUUUCUCCUGGAAACUUAAAGUAUGACCAUUAAAAAGAAUGGCUUGGUUUCCUUACUUGAAAAAUAAUGCUUUCAAUUAAAAUAAAGUAUUACAUUUGAAAUGGUUUGAUCUUUUCACUCAAGCAGCAUUAAAUUAAAGACCCACCCCAUUUAUCAUAUAAAAUAUAGUUUGUUCCAAGUUUAAAUUUAUUGCUAUUCCUUCUUGUCCCAUGUGACUAUUUUUUUCAGGAACUUUGAAAAGACAAUUCUCUACUUUAAAGCAUAAAUGUCCCUGUAAUGUGGACAUCUGCACUCAGUUUUUUGCCAAGCAUUCUUACCAAUGUUCAGGAAAACUCUCCGAGAUACAGUGGAAGAGUUGGACGAUACACCAUAGCUAGAGAUCUCUGCUUUUUGUUAAAUGUCUUUGACUAUGAUAUCAUUGAAUUCAGUCAUUGUUUUUCAUGAUAGAUUGUGGUGCAUUGUCACCCUUAAUAUUCUUUUUUGUGGUUGAAUGUCUCCAUGGGUCAUGAAUUGGAUAGUAAGAUCCAGACAGUCUGACUCCAGAAAAGUAGAAAGCUUUUAUGAAAGGAUUUCUAUUUACUGCAAGGAUUUCUAUUUGUGCAUGAUAGCCAAAUAAGAAAAUACAGUCAGCAAGAAAUAACAGUGGAUAAGGUUAAUAGCAUAUUGCACUAGACACACAUAGAAUGCUGUUGUUCAAAUAAUGUUGUACUUUAAUAAUGCAAAGAAAAACAAACAUGCACAUCCAAUUGUUCACUUAUAGGUAAGAUAAAUAAAAAUAUGCAGAAAGUAAUCUAAGAGGACAUUUUGUCAUAAAAAUAUAACUAUUCUCAAAUUCUCAGCUCCUAUAGAUCAAUUACAUGGAUUAAAUAAGCAUUUCAGAUAUGAUGUGAAUUAAUGUGACGUACUUGGUUGAGAAGGAAUUGAGCAUCAUUGUGUUAACCAAGGUAGAAACAUCACAAAGUUUAGAGAUCUUUUUAAUUAAUUAAUGCUGCUUUUGACUCAUCACAUGUACACUUUUUAUCUUUAUACACAUAGCUUACAUUUUCCAUUACAACAAAUACUUGUUUCUAUGUUGGUAGUCAGUAUUAAGGAAAUUCUUAGAAAAUACUUAGUUUCAUAAGGUGUUGGUUUCUAGAAAAAACACAUUUAAUCAUCUGAGACAAUAAAACAAAUUCAUUUGAAGUCUGAAUUAGUGUCAUAUUGCAUUGUGUCAUGCUACACACUGUAUUAAUAGCUAUGUGUGAGAGGAACUGAAGUAGUCUAUCCGGCAAAAUUCCACUAACAGUCAUUGCUUCUGCAUUUUGUUCCAAAAACUUCACUUCAAAAUACCCUAAAUUUCUGAACGAUAUUCUUUGAAAUACAUUAUUGUUGUAUAAAUUAACUAUAAUAUUUUAGCAUACUUAAUUUAAAGUAGUCUAGAAAUUUUCUCAUAUCUAUAAUCAGCUUCCUUCACCUCUUUCCUGGAAAGCACUGUGUUAGUGUUCUCCACAGAAAGAUUCAAUUAUGUGUGUGUAUGUGUUUAUACAUACAUAUAUACAUAUAUGUAGAGAGAUAUAUAGAUAUGUUUAUUAAAGAAGUGGUACACAAGAUUAAGCACGUUGACAAGUCUGAAAUGUGUGGGGUAAACCUGCAGAAAAAAACACCCUUACAGAAAAAUCAAGAAUGAUAUUUGAUCAAAUAUCUGGACUCUGUGUCCUAGCCAUGUUGAUAUAUACACAAGAAAUUACUUUUACAAAUACAUUUGUAUAUUUUAUUUGUACUAAAGGAAAAUGACUGUAGCAACCAAUGUAUUCAUUAGUUGUAAGAAAUGUGAGGUAGAUUAGAAAUAAUAAACUGCUAUAAUUGUUCCCAUUUUUCCAUACAACAUAAUGUAGAUGUAGCUUAUCUCUCAUUUCAUGCGAGAUGGCAUAUGUAAGUUCUUUUUAAAACUUAUGAAGUGCAAAAAAAGAUUAGAUAAAGUACACUUAGGUAAUAGUCAUUAUUGCCUAGUUUUUAGUGCAACUUCUUAUGCUUAUGUAAGUUGCUUUAUCACACAAACUCCAGCCAACUCUUAUUUCUCUUCCUAGAUAAACUGUGUGUUGCCAUUCACCUUUAACUCAUUUUGAUUAUGGUAGAAGUUGGUGAACUAUUCCUCAAAUAAUACUUUGACAAGAAGAGAAAUAAUUUGGAUAAAUUUGUACAGUCUAAGAUGAUAUAUAAUCCAAAAGCCUUGCCAUUUAACAGCAUCAUAGGAAUUUGCUAGAAACUCAACCCCCUUCAAAAGCUCAACUCAAAUUUCUGGCUCAAACUGUACUGACCCAAAGCUUUCACUUCCAUCUGUCCUAAAACACACUUAAAUGGAAAGAACAAAAGAAACGACUGAUGAACCAUAAGCUCCCUGGAAGUAGGAAAGCACAUCGCCAAUACCCUGUCUUUAAGAGCGCAAAUCUCCACCAAAGACUAGAGGAGUAUUCACCCAGGUGACACUGCAAGCCCUAGCACCAUAGGGGCUGAUGAGAGCAAUAGGGAGGACACUGCUUCUCUAAGGAUUCUCAGAAGUUGGCCAGAGCUGGAAAGCAGAGACAGGCAUGGGAAGAACUUAGACGAGUUAACUGAACAAAUAUGGAAACCUCGACUUGGAUUGCACUUAGUGCUCAGCCCAUUCCUCUUUAUGUCACUAAUAGCUAAAUAAAUUAAGUAGGGAUAUUA